AGCGAACGCUGGCGGCAGGCUUAACACAUGCAAGUCGAGCGGGCAUCCUUGUGGUGUCCGCGGCUGACGGGUGCGUAACGCGUGGGAACGUGCCCUUCGGUUCGUAAUAACUCAGGGAAACUUGAGCUAAUACCGGAUACGUGCGAGAGCAGAAAGGUUUAUCUGCCGAAGGAUCGGCCUGCGUCUGAUUAGCUAGUUGGUGAGGUUAUGGCUCACCAAGGCGACGAUCAGUAGCUGGUCUGAGAGGAUGAGCAGCCACACUGGGACUGAGACACGGCCCAGACUCCUACGGGAGGCAGCAGUGGGGGAUAUUGGACAGUGGGGGCAACCCUGAUCCAGCCAGGCCGCGUGAGUGAUGACGGCCUUAGGGUUGUAAAGCUCUUUUAUUCGGGACGAUAAUGACGGUACCGGAGGAAUAAGCCCCGGCUAACUUCGUG
rnacentral:rRNA from 1 species